rnacentral:rRNA from 1 species
UACGUAGGGCGCAAGCGUUGUCCGGAAUUAUUGGGCGUAAAGAGCUCGUAGGCGGUUUGUCGCGUCUGCUGUGAAAACCUAAGGCUCAACCUUGGGCUUGCAGUGGGUACGGGCAGACUAGAGUGCGGUAGGGGUGACUGGAAUUCCUGGUGUAGCGGUGGAAUGCGCAGAUAUCAGGAGGAACACCGAUGGCGAAGGCAGGUCUCUGGGCAUUAACUGACGCUGGAGGAGCGAAAAGCAUGGGGAGCGAACAGG